rnacentral:rRNA from 1 species
CGGCCGUAACUAUAACGGUCCUAAGGUAGCGAAAUUCCUUGUCGGGUAAGUUCCGACCCGCACGAAAGGCGCAACGAUCUGGGCACUGUCUCAACGAGAGACUCGGUGAAAUUAUAGUACCUGUGAAGAUGCAGGUUACCCGCGACAGGACGGAAAGACCCCGUGGAGCUUUACUGCAACCUGAUAUGGAAUGUUUGUACCGCUUGUACAGGAUAGGUAGGAGCCGAAGAGACGUGUGCGCUAGCAUACGAGGAGGCAAUGGUGGGAUACUACCCUGGCUGUAUGACCAUUCUAACCCGCCACGCUUAGCGCGUGGGGAGACAGUGUCAGGUGGGCAGUUUGACUGGGGCGGUCGCCUCCUAAAGAGUAACGGAGGCGCCCAAAGGUUCCCUCAGAAUGGAUGGAAAUCAUUCGCAGAGUGUAAAGGCACAAGGGAGCUUGACUGCGAGACUGACAAGUCGAGCAGGGACGAAAGUCGGGCUUAGUGAUCCGGUGGUUCCGCAUGGAAGGGCCAUCGCUCAACGGAUAAAAGCUACCCCGGGGAUAACAGGCUUAUCUCCCCCAAGAGUCCACAUCGACGGGGAGGUUUGGCACCUCGAUGUCGGCUCGUCGCAUCCUGGGGCUGUAGUCGGUCCCAAGGGUUGGGCUGUUCGCCCAUUAAAGCGGCACGCGAGCUGGGUUCAGAACGUCGUGAGACAGUUCGGUCCCUAUCCGUCGCGGGCGCAGGAAAUUUGAGAGGAGCUGUCCUUAGUACGAGAGGACCGGGAUGGACACACCGCUGGUGUACCAGUUGUUCCGCCAGGAGCAUCGCUGGGUAGCUAUGUGUGGCAGGGAUAAACGCUGAAAGCAUCUAAGCGUGAAGCCCCCCUCAAGAUGAGAUUUCCCAUUUCUUCGGAAAGUAAGAUCCCUGAAAGAUGAUCAGGUAGAUAGGUUUGGAGUGGAAGUGUAGCGAUACAUGGAGCGGACAAAUACUAAUCGAUCGAGGACUUAACCAAAA